GCAGACCUGUAGCUCAGCUGGUUAGAGCAUGGUGCUGAUCAUGCCCAAGGUUGCAGGUUCGAUCCCUGUAUGGGGCAGCUGCA